rnacentral:lncRNA from 1 species
GCCAAACAAUUUUUGCUGUCUGAAAAGAGGCCAAUUGAGAAAUAUAUUCGGAAACCUAUCAUUUGCUUUAACUCAUUUGGGAGUACGAUAUACUUGAAUACAUAUAGAUCUGUUAGACAUGAGGAUGGUUAUGAGAAAUAGAAAUUGGAAGCGUUUGAGGGUAGCUACUCAGUGUUCGAGGCUAAAUUGUGGGGCAUAUUGGAUGGAUUAGACAUCUUAAUUGAUCGAGGUUUUGACAAUAUUUUGAUCCAGAUAGACAACUUGGAGGUGGUUAUGGUCAUC